UUUGUCUCCAUAGAAACUUCCCUGCUGUCUGCAAGAGGCCAGUAAAGAGCUUUAUUUCUCUGUAGCUAUCCCUUAGCAUAACAGAUACAGAAAAAGAGUGAGGAGAUCGGCAGAACUUUAAGAGAGCAGCAACAGCAGGGUCAUGACAGUGCUGGUGAGGCAAAAGCAACUUUAUCCUGAUAUUUAAGCUGGGAUGCUUCCCUGCAUCUCUUGGCUGCAGGUUUCAAAUCCACUUAAGGGACUUGAAGACUCAGCUCCCAUGAAUUUUCAAUGGAAAGGGACCACCUAAGUCCUCUAGGCAGCUGAGGAGUUAUAGCAACUGAAAAGCCGAGGCAUGGGCUACAGGUCUUCUGAGGAUAACAUCCAUCCUGAGAUUUGUGGCAUCUUGGGUGAAGCUGGAAAUUGUAAGAUACAGAGCCAAGCAUCCUUCUAGACAGGAAUGCAAAGGCUAAAAAGGAAAUUCCAAGCCCAGGUUUGUUCUGCAGAGAGGAGAUAAAAAGUCAUCUGUUAGAGUGCCAGGUAAGUGCUAUCCUUUCACACUCUACAGAAGAGAAAGAGCUGGUAACAAGCACUGUCGGGUGUCCGAGAGGCAAUGAAGAGGACAUUAGCACACAGGAUCAUGGCAGCAAUUGCUGCCUGAGAACUGCAUGAUACUCAUCUUUAUGGCUCCCUGAAGCCUUGGAGUGGCGUGGCAGAGGAACAGCAGGGUCAAAAGAAUCCCUCAAAGCUCAGCCCUC
rnacentral:lncRNA from 1 species